CUGGGCGUGGAACAAUACGAUGCCCGUUUAUUUGUUUUACAUUUGUGGUGGUUUACUGAACUGAGGCAGACCGACGUUAUGUAUGCAGGUCUUCCUUUAAAAUUUGGCUCUCCUAAACGUAAUGGAGACAGACUGGAAUUACGUAUAUAUUACCUUUGAAAAAAUGGCUCUUUGAAAUUGGAUGGGGCGUUUGCAGGGUCCGGAUUAAUACAUGGAAAUAGACUGACAUUAUGUAUAUAUAUUGUAUUAGAAAAUGGCUACUUGACACUGGAUGCGACGUUAGCAGGGUCUGGAUUAAUACAUGAAAAUAGACAGACUGGCAUCAUGUAUAUCUUACCUUAAAAAAUAGCUCUUUGACACUUGAUGUGGCACUAACUAGGCGUGAAUAAAGCGUGCAGGCUGAAAUUUAAUACAUGUUGCCUUAAAUAACGGCUCCUUGAAUCUGGGUGCUGCGGUAACUAUAUAGGUAAGAGGUAAAGUUGGGGUCUACGCUAUAGCUGCGCGUGGCUUCAGUGCUCACUGGGGAAACCUGCGGAAGGUAAACUGUGGUAAACUGUUAACUAAGGACGCCACUAAAUGCUGUAAUACUCAAGGCCGGAGACAAACCGGCAUUGUGUGUGUACACUCUUAAAAGAAACACAACUCUCUCGAAUAUAAACCGGGGCCGCAAUCACCGUGUUCAUAAGUGGCACAUUUGAAUGGUUCACGGUCUCCCAACUUCUUCAAUAUUUAUUUUGAUUCUGAUUUUUUUCAAAGAAAUUGAUAAGAGAAACAGCAACACAUUAUCACUACUCUGUUGUCAUUUCCUUCAAUACAACAGCAGCGAUUCUUUCAAUUAAUUUUUCUGGUACCACCAAAAUGGUCCCAAUCGAGUCACAACUACAAACUUUCCUUCUCCUGAUCUUUUUAACAACCUUCGGUGGCGUCACAGCAGUUUCCCGUGAAGGUAGUUUUUCUUCUUUCUCUGUUACUACAACUUCAUUCGUUUUAUUGCCGGGCAGAAUCUCCUUUGUUAUCUCUGUUCGUUCUACUACCAGAGGUCCAUUGACAUUUUCUGUAACAUUUCUAGUCUCCACAGAUGUUUCCUUGAUGGUUUCAUGUGAAGGUAGUCUUUCUUCUUUCUCUGUCACUACAACUUCAUUCGUUUCAUUGCCGGGCAGAAUCUCCUUUGUUUUCUCUGUUCGUUCUACUAUCAGAGGUCCAUCGCCAUUUUCUGUAACAUUUCUACUCUUCACAGAUGUCAUCGUUAUGUUUUCCUGUGAAGGUAGUUUUUCUUCUUUCUCUGUUACUGAAAUUUCAUUCGUUUCAUUGCCGGGCAGAAUCUCCUUUGUUUUCUCUGUUCGGUCUACUAUCAGAGGUCCAUCGACAUUUUCUGUAACAUUUCUAGUCUCCACAGAUGUUUCCUUGAUGGUUUCAUGUGAAGGUAGUCUUUCUUCUUUCUCUGUUACUACAACCUCAUUCGUUUCAUUGCCGGGCAGAAUCUCCUUUGUUUUCUCUGUUCGUUCUACUACCAGAGGUCCAUCGACAUUUUCUGUAACAUUCCUAGUCUCCACAGAUGUUUCCUUGAUGGUUUCAUGUGAAGGGAGUUUUUCUUCUUUCUCUGUUACUAAUAUUUGAUUCGUUUUAUUGCCUGGCAGAAUCUCCUUUGUUAUCUCUGUUCGUUCUACUUUCUGAGGUUCGUCGCUCUUUCCUGAGGCACUAAAUGUAGUUUCUGUUUUGUUUUUACCUUGGUCAUCCGUCCCUACCUUCGGAAAAAGAAGAGUUGCGGCUUUAUCGUUCUUCGGCUUUUCUUCAGUGGCAUUGGUAAGAGGCUGUACUGUUGCUUCCUUCUUUUUAACAACUUUUUCGUUAAUUUCAUUACCCUCUUCGUCCGUGACCUUUUUCACGUCCACCGUCAGUGUUAGGGACCCGUUGUUUGGACUGGUUUCCGUCAGAGUUUCGCUCUCUGUGACAGAUUUUUCGCCACUUUCUUUACCUUCCUCAUCAAUAACAAUCUGUGUUUCCGUAAUCUUUGAUACAUUUCCGUUGGCCUUUACGUCAGUUUCUGUAGUCUUUUCAACGACUGUCUUGUUUCCGGUUACGUGCCCCGUUUCAUCUGUAUUAUUAAAGAUUUUCCUUGCCACGGUCUUGAUAGUGUCAUUACUGCCACUUCCCAAACUUGUCUGGAUGCUCUCUAGAUCAGACACGUUUCGUAAAUCUUUGAGUCCCGCCUCGUCAACUUUUCGGCAAGGGUCCUCAGCGGCUCUCUCCAGUGUAAUGGAGGCCGCCCCGUCGUCCGGGAACCCCGUGAAGCCCGCCCCGCCGACCAGCAGCAGGCUGCUACCACUCAGAUUCCCCAGCAACAAGAAGAUCGUCCACGCAACGAAGAGCAUCAUAAUUGUUGAUUGUGAGGUUAUGAAAUUAAAAAGAAUUACGGUUUUGUAAAAACCGCUUUCGUCAGCUCAGGGAUUGAAAACAGAAUGGCCUCCGGAACACCGACCGGCAGGGAGAAAAAUCCUCUGGGGUCUUCCUCCGCGCGCCGCAGGAUCUGUUUUGAUAGAAGAGGGAGAGUCGAACGAAAAGAAAGCACGCACACACACACACACACACGACGGCAAGGAAUUCUGAUGUCAAGUCUGGUGUGUGUGUGUGUGUGUGUGUGUGUGUGUGUUUUAAGGAGGAUGCGAAGCUCAGGGGUCCGUUAUAAGGAUGGCUAACGUCACUUCACUUGAAACUUCCCCCUUUCCCCCUCCCGCUUCAUCAUUGCAUAUCUCUCUCUCUCUCUCUCUC